CGUAGGUGCCACCGCCCGGCUUCGCCUACGAAGCCCCACGUCGACUCUAAACAUUACGUUCAGUCGGUCGCUACCGCGGCCGGCGACGCAGCUACUCUGACCUGGAAGCAGCCGUGGGAUUCCACUCCUCCGGCUGUAACCAGCAGCUCGCCGCCCCCUUCUCCGGGGGCUGCCAGUUCACAGAUCAAAUGCCUGCGGCCGCCCCAGUGCGGUUCUGAUAUGACCGACCCCUACUCGUAACGGUAGGUGAAUGCGUGGAACCUGCGGAAGGAUCAUUAACGAGAGAGGGGCCUUCGUGCUCCCGGGGGUCUCGGCCCUCAACUCUUCACCCUGUGCGUACCUAUUCCUGUUGCUUUGACGGGCCGUGAGGCGGAUUGGCUCCUACUACCGGGACAAACCGUGAACGUCUUUAGCGGUCUGGUAAGCGCCCGUCAGAGUCCCAUUCAAAAACCUUUUAUAAUAGUAACGUCCGAGUACACUUCAAUAAUAAAAAACUUUCAACAACGGAUCUCUUGGUUCUGGCAUCGAUGAAGAACGCAGCGAAAUGCGAUAAGUAAUGUGAAUUGCAGAAUUCAGUGAAUCAUCGAAUCUUUGAACGCACAUUGCGCCCCUCGGUAUUCCGGGGGGCAUGCCUGUUCGAGCGUCAUUACACCCCUCAAGCUCAGCUUGGUCUUGGGUCUUCGCCCGUCCGCGGCGGACCCGAAAGUGAGUGGCGGUCAGGCGUGACUUUAAGCGUAGUAAAUCCUCUCCCGCUUUGAAAGCUCGCGCGCUGGCCCGCCAGAACCCCUUAUUGUCUCCAAUAAUUCACCUCGGAUCAGGUAGGGAUACCCGCUGAACUUAAGCAUAUCAAUAAGCGGAGGAAAAGAAACCAACAGG
rnacentral:rRNA from 1 species